AUGUUAGGUUGGAUACUUAGGCUACAGCCUAUUGAAGGGACCCACCGUUACGGUACUAUUGAAGGGACCCACCGUUACGGUACUAUUGAAGGGACCCACCGUUACGGUGCUAUUGAAGGGACCCACCGUUACGGUGCUAUUGAAGGGACGGACCGUUACGGUACUAUUGAAGGGACGGACCGUUACGGUGCUAUUGAAGGGACCCACCGUUACGGUACUAUUGAAGGGACGGACCGUUACGGUGCUAUUGAAGGGACGGACCGUUACGCGCUAUUGAAGGACCCACCGUUACGGCGCUAUGAAGGGG
rnacentral:lncRNA from 1 species